rnacentral:misc_RNA from 1 species
GAUGAAGAACUUAGCGAAAUGCGAUAAGUAAUGUGAAUUGCAGAAUUCAGUGAAUCAUCGAAUCUUUGAACGCACCUUGCGCUCCUUGGUAUUCCGAGGAGCAUGCCUGUUUGAGUGUCAUUAAAUUCUCAACCUCACCAGUUUUGUAACGAGACAGGUGAAGGCUUGGAUGUGGGGGUUUUGCAGGCUGCCUCAGUGCUGGUCUGCUCUCCUGAAAUACAUUAGCGAGCUCAUAUUGAGCUUCCGUCUAUUGGUGUGAUAAUUAUCUACGCCGUGGAUUGGACUCAUGCUUGCUUCUAACCGUCCGCAAGGACAAUUUACUUGACCAAUUUGACCUCAAAUCAGGUAGGACUACCCGCUGAACUUAAGCAUAUCAAUAAGCGGAGGA